rnacentral:rRNA from 1 species
CCACUCAUUCAAAGAGUGCGUAAUAGCUCACUGGUCGAGUGAUCCUGCGCCGAAGAUUUCCGGGGCUAAAACUUACUACCGAAGCUACGGCAUCAGUAAUGAUGGGUAGGGGAGCUUCCCAUACGGGCUGAAGCAUGACCGUAAGGACAUGUGGACAGUAUGGGAGUGAGAAUGUUGGCAUGAGUAGCGAGAUGUGGGUGAGAAUCCCACAGGCCGUAAACCAGGUUUCCAGGGGAAGGUUCGUCCACCCUGGGUUAGUCGGGACCUAAGCUGAGGCCGAAAGGCGUAGGUGAUGGACAACAGGUUGAUAUUCCUGUACUACCGAUAACCGUUUGAGAGAAGGGAUGACACAGUAGGAUAAGCUAAGCACACUG